CGCCUGCGCAAAUCAUCUUCCCAGCGUUCCUGGCGCCCCUUCUGCCCCGCUUGAAGGCCUUGCCUAUCCUCUCUGGUGGCGUGUGCUUCGUCGUGCGACCGACUCUUGCGCUCACUUGACGGGUCAUGCUUCACCUGUCUGUGCUCUGCCGCCGUGCACUCCAGGUCGGCCUGCAACCCAGCCGCCACCUCGCUCACUCAGAGCCCCGGCACCAGCGGAACGCGUCCCCUGCUGAAAUGGCUGUUGGAAUUGUGGUGUUUUUUAGCACCUUUUAAACUCCAGCUGCAUAUGUGCUAAGCAAUCUGAACCAGUUCAGAAGAUGGUAGAUGGAAGAUGUUGAGCAGCAGUUGAGGUCCAAAAAACUUUCAGAAGAAACUGUGACUUUAAAUGAGCAGAAGUGCUUAAGUUGGGUUCAUUGUGGGCAUUGAGUUUCAAAACCAUAUGUUUAUGAUAAAUAUUUUGCACUUUUUUAGUACUGUGCAUUAUAUAAAUGUGUAGUCAAAAAACACUGUUCUGUUUAAAUGUUAAAUAAAAUUGAAACACUUAUUCAUGCUCUGUAUAUGUUUGAUCACAGAUUGUUUCCUUCUUUUUUUUCUUGCAGUGCUAGGGUUGAUCCCAAGGCCUAGUGCAUGCUAGACAAGUGCUCUAUCAUGCUAGCCUGCACAGAUGAAAAUUUACUUCUGAAAAAUACAAUGAUAACUGCUAUGAGAGAUUUACUGACUUGGAGUGACAUGAAGUACUAUUUCGUGGUCAUGAAUGUAUCUAGUGUCAUAAGGGUUAGAAGAUUAGCUGUAAAGUAGUAUUCUUAAGUGUAAUGAAAUAAUUUUUAUGUCUUAUUAGUACAGCUAUUCCAUAAAAUAUUUCAUAUGUGUGUCUUUUUUUUUUUUUUUUUUUUGCUGCCUGGGGAAGGAACCCAUGGCCUCCUAUAUAGCAAGUAACUGCUAUACUACUGAGGUAUAUCCCAGCCCAAUCUCUCCUGGUGUCUCCCUUCUUCCCUCCUCUCCUCCCUUUCUUCUGAUUGAAUCAGGCUCUUCAUACUGAGCUAUAUCCCCAGCCUUUUAUUACUGCUGUUUUUUUAAAAAUUUUGAAACAAAACUUUAAAUUCCAAAUUGCCCAGGUGGGGCUCAAAUUUGUGAUCCUCCUGCCUCAGUCUUCCAGAGCACUGGGAUUAUAGGCAUGUGCUACAAUGUCUGGCUUCUUUGCUUCUUUAAAUUCCUACACUGCAUGAUUGUUAAGUACAUAUAUACUAUGUUUGUACCUCUCCUAGUUUAAUGAUUUUGUUAUCUUCUCUCAGUUGCCUUUCAGGUUUGAAGCAUCACAUGUAGGUUUGAAUGUCACCCUGGAUGACUCUCGACAGCACAGGUCAACUCUGAGUCUCAGUUUCCAUACCUCAAUAAUGGAAACUUAAAAUUGCUCUAUUGAAGGGAUGAUGUGGAGAUUAAGACAUUGAACAAAGAUAAAGCAACUCUCAGCAUAGUGCCUGAAACCAAGGGAAAUGCAAGAUUGAGUUCCUGUGAGCCUCUGGACACUUCUCAGUGCAUAAAUUAUUGUAUUAUGUAUCCAGUAUCAGGACAGUGUUCAGUCAUGAACAGGAGAUGCUCAAAUGCUGAGUGAAAGAAUGAAUGUGCAUAGCAAGAAGAACUGGUUUGGGGAAAGAUUUCAGCUGUUACCUGCACCAAAAUCAAGAGACUAACAGUGACUGAUACAAAGGUUUUGUUUUGGAAGGCAUAUGAAUAAAAGAUAAAGAAGCAAAGAAUGUAAAGGUAUUGGCAACAGAGCACUUAAAUUGUAAAUGGAAAGGAUAGCUAUGUUACAAGGAAAAAUACCAAUGUCCUCAUGGAGGGGAAUGCAGUGGAAGUCUCAAUGAUGUUGAGUAAAGGUGUG